CCUACGGGGGGCUGCAGUGGGGAAUAUUGCGCAAUGGGCGAAAGCCUGACGCAGCGACGCCGCGUGGGUGAUGAAGGCCUUCGGGUUGUAAAGCCCUGUCGGGUGGAACGAACGAUCUGGCGGCGAAUAACCGCCGGGUGUGACGGUACCACCGAAGGAAGCCCCGGCUAACUCCGUGCCAGCAGCCGCGGUAAGACGUAGGGGGCGAGCGUUGUUCGGAUUUACUAGGCGGCUAGCGAAGGCAGGUGUCAAAUCCCUCGGCUUAACCGAGGUCUCGCCUCCGAUACUGUCUGGCUCGAGUCUAGGAGAGGAAAGCGGAAUUCCCAGUGUAGCGGUGAAAUGCGUAGAUAUUGGGAGGAACACCGGUGGCGAAGGCGGCUUUCCGGACUAGUACUGACGCUGAGGCGCGAAAGCUAGGGGAGCGAACGGGAUUAGAUACCCGAGUAGUC
rnacentral:rRNA from 1 species